CAAUGGCUCAAUUGGUAGAGCAUCGGUCUCCAAAACCGAGGGUUGGGGGUUCGAGUCCCUCUUGA
rnacentral:tRNA from 15 species